AGGCUAGCUAAAAUUGAAACAAAUCUACCUAUUGAUAGACUCAAAGUUGUGAACCUAUGGCCUAUUUGAGACAAUCUCCGAUAAUCUAUUUACAACAUCCAACAGUUUCAAUGUCCUUGUUUAACUAUGCUGAUAGCUUUCUUGUGAAUAGGAAGAUCAUUCUUAAAGUUGUGUAAUUCCACACUGGUUUCACAUGCAUUUUGUAAAGUGUUGAACCAGUGCUAAGACUGUGUGGAAGGGUUAUACCCCUGUGUCAUAUACUAUUACUAAUGCAUGCGGUGCCAUGCUUGUCUUUAAAUAUAUAAGUAGUGCUAAAUGCAGAAGUCAUAGGGAGGUUCUGAUUUCAUUUGAUUUCUUACUGCUACUUGGUGUCCUGUAUUCAAUCCUAGAGGGAUUCUGUGGCUGGUAAGGGAAAAGAGAUAAACAUUCUGAAUUUGUCACAUCACAUAAAUUUUAAUUGGCAAAAGUGCAUAGAAUCUCCUGGUUUUCAUUUAAUACUUAUCAUUUGCAAGUAAAUAAUACUACAUAGGGAAUGAAUCUGUAAAUGCAGAUGGAAGUGUGGGCAGCCCAAGGAAAGGGGUGUUAGUUAACUACCCCAGCUAAGUCACUUCAGAACCAAAUGUACCAUUCAGUUUCAUCUUAUGCCCCUUUCACAAAUUACAAUGUGAACAUGAAUAAGGACUAAUUUUUGCAAAACUAAAAAGCUAAUUUGAGCCCAUGUUUAUCAACAGAAUUUUGAAUCCACAUUUCAUAAAAUUUAAGCUAAUUACACAGUGUGUUUCUCUGUAUGGAAAACUAUAGAUAAUACACUCAGUCAGCUUGCAUUUUACAGAGAAAGAAUUUAAGUUACUAAAUAGACUAGCCUUUCUUGGGUUUGUACACAUGUCUUUGGGACAAAGACACAUGUGGUUGAGCCUACCUUUUUUUGUUGUUGUUGUUGUUUUAAUACUCAAUUAUAGCUUAUUUUGAAUUUAUUUAAGACAUGUAAACUGUAAAUUUACAUGCUAUGUUCAUGCUAUGUAUGUGAACAAAUAUUCUUGCUUUUUAUUUAAUAACCUAGAAACACAAAAUUUUCCAUUUUAACACAUUAACAAUGAAUGAGAAGCUGUAGAAUUUGUUGAGCUUAACUUUUUUAAACUAAGAACAUUUUAUGUUAGUACAUAUUCAUCCUGAAUUCACAGAAAUGCUUUCUGCUCUAUAACAGAAAAUCAUGACCUUUAUUUUUCAGGAAAUACUGACAUAGUAGCCCACUGUUCACACCCUACCACUGAGUCUUCCUUAAAUGUGACAUCAAGGAUCCAAUGUAGAAUAAAAUGACAUUUUUAUCUCUUCUCAGAGGAAUACGAAAAAAAUGUAACUGUUGGGCAGCAAACUUCUAAAUGAAUUCUGCAGUAGUAAGGGAAAAAAAUGUAUAGUCAUUAAAUUAAACGAAGAAAGGAUCCAUAAUUGAUUGUGUCUUAGAAGCCUGGAAAUGUUCUUUCACUGACUUGUGGCAGCCUGGGAAGUCAUCUGUGAGCUUCUAUGACUUUUGUAUUUAGCAAUGUUGCAUGCUCACAUAACUGAUAUUAAAAGCAGCACUUGUUUUCUG
rnacentral:lncRNA from 1 species